rnacentral:rRNA from 1 species
CCUACGAGGGGCAGCAGUGGGGAAUAUUGCACAAUGGGGGAAACCCUGAUGCAGCGACGCCGCGUGAGUGAAGACGUAAUUCGUUAUGUAAAGCUCUAUCAGCAGGGAAGAAAAUGACGGUAACUGAGUAAGAAGCCCCGUCUAACUAAGUGCCAGCAUCCGCGGGACUAAGUAGGGGGCAAGCGUUAUACGGAUUUACUGGUGGUAAAGGGAGCGUAUACGGCAGGGCAAGUCAGAAGUGAAAGGCGGGGGCUCAACCCCCGGACUGCUCUGGAAACUGUACGGCUGAAGUGCAGGAGAGGUACGUGGAAGGCCUAGUGGAGCGGUGAAAUGCGUAGAUAUUAGGCGGAACACCAGUGGCGAAGGCGGCUUACUGGACUGUAACUGACGUUGAGGCUCGAAAGCGUGGGGAGCAAACAGGAUUAGAUACCCUUGUAGUC